UACGGGGGGGGCAAGCGUUGUUCGGAAUUACUGGGCGUAAAGGGCUCGUAGGUGGCCAACUAAGUCAGACGUGAAAUCCCUCGGCUUAACCGGGGAACUGCGUCUGAUACUGGAUGGCUUGAGUUCGGGAGAGGGAUGCGGAAUUCCAGGUGUAGCGGUGAAAUGCGUAGAUAUCUGGAGGAACACCGGUGGCGAAGGCGGGUCUCUGGGCCGACAUUGACGCUGAGGAGCGAAAGCGUGGGUAGCGAACAGG
rnacentral:rRNA from 1 species